AACCUCGUGUGCGCAUCUAAAACCCCCCCGAAUGAAACACAAAACCCUCAACACACAACGAAGCCUUAGCCCCUCAUCGUCCCUACCCAGCCCAAAGUCAUGUCUUCCGCCGCCGCCACAGCCGCUAGGUCUGUCUUCCGAUCCACCGCGGCCCGAGCCGCUACGGCUUCGAGGCUCAGUGCCGGAGCCGGAGCCAAGGCCCGACCCGCGUGCUCACCGUUUCGCAUACCAAAACAAAACCCUCUUGCGAACCGCAUUUUCAGAUCGCCUGUGGAGCUGAGCUGCUGUGUGGAAACGAUGCUUCCAUAUCACACGGCCACUGCUUCCGCAUUGCUCACCUCCAUGCUCUCCGUCUCUCGCAGAUACGGUUGGACCCCUGAAGGGCAAGAGAAGACUAGAUGAAGAUCGAGCAUCAAAUAUGGAUUUCCUUGGGUUUGUUUUUGUUGUCUACUUUGAAAGUAUUGGUGAAUGUUCUCUUCAGUAGAUUUGAUGGAUGAGUGUUGUUGGGGUGCGGUACAUUGAUCAUAAUUUCCAUGGAUUUCAAUGGACUUUGUAAGACUUGCUUGGGCAUUAUUCUCCUUGACCGGAUUUGAAAAUCAAGGGGUUAAAAGUUGUGUUCUACAUGCAAUCAUAAGUAGGUACCAAAAUGAGAUUAGAUUGUUUUUAUAUUUUCAAAAACUAAAAUUACAGUGCUAGAUGAAUUCUUUCAUGUGAAUUAUGUUUAGAAAUGUUUGUGUUGGUUCAAAUGCUUUGUCGAUUGGGAUACACUAGCUGUGAUUCAGGAUAUAUAGUUGCAUCGAUGAUCAUGUAUAGGGUUGGUGGCAUGUCAGGCUGAGUUUCAUUGGAUGAGUUAUACAUACAUAAACAACAACAUAAGCCUAAUCUAAAAGCACUGAUAAUUGCCUUACUUUGGUGAACUUGUAUGAAUUUUAGUCGUCCUAAAAGGCAUUGCAGCCAUUUGUGUUACAAACCCAAUGAGGCAAAUUUUAGUCAUGCUAUAUAUUUUUUAUACAGAAGCAUGAUAACCUAGAUAAUGUCAUGUCAUAUAGUCGGCCUAAAGGCAUUGAGGAGAGUAUCAUACAAACCAAAGCCCUCUGAAAAAUCAUAUCAAUCUUAGAUGUGUUUAACAAUGCAAUCUUUUGAGGUUCCAAUCAUGUCAAUCUUAUAUUGUGUUGUAUAAAUAUACUAGUGUGACUUGUUUUGUUUGUAAGCAAAACUUUGAGUAUUGUGUUUAGAUUUUGAA